GUGGGGAAUAUUGGACAAUGGGCGAAAGCCUGAUCCAGCAAUGCCGCGUGAGUGAUGAAGGCCUUAGGGUUGUAAAGCUCUUUUACCAGGGAUGAUAAUGACAGUACCUGGAGAAUAAGCUCCGGCUAACUCCGUGCCAGCAGCCGCGGUAAUACGGAGGGAGCUAGCGUUGUUAGGAAUUACUGGGCGUAAAGAGCACGUAGGCGGUUACUCAAGUCAGAGGUGAAAGCCCGGGGCUCAACCCCGGAACUGCCUUUGAAACUAGGUAACUAGAAUCUGGGAGAGCUCAGUGGAAUUCCGAGUGUAGAGGUGAAAUGCGUAGAUAUUCGGAAGAACACCAGUGGCGAAGGCGACUGACUGGACAAGUAUUGACGCUGAGGUGCGAAAGCGUGGGGAGCAAACAGGAUUAGAAACCCUGGUAGUCC
rnacentral:rRNA from 1 species